rnacentral:misc_RNA from 1 species
UCUCUGUUUUUUUGUUAUCCUUAAAAUCAAGAAAUUAAUUAUAUUUUUUAUUUUAUGUUUUGUAGAAAUAAUUUUCUACACUCUUUCUUACUUUUGCUUCAUCAGUAAAAUAUAUUAUGAGUUUAACAUGGCGAUUGAUGUCACCGUAAAAUUUUUUUAAAAAAUAAAUUUAAUGAGUGAUGAGUUUGUGAUAUUUUUAAAACUUUCUACUAUUUUUAAAACUUUCUACCGAAACUUUGAAAAUCAUGAUUUACGGUUUCUUUGUUGUUGACAAUUAUAAAAACGUUUCAAACGUCGUUAAAAAAAAAAAAAUCCAUAACGCUUUGACCAGAAUAUGUUGCGUUUUUUUAAAAAAGAAAAUCCUGAAUUCACCCAAAUUUUUCAGUUUUCCAAACGACAUGCUAGAACAAUUUAAAUACGCUUUCUAAGAAAACGUUUCAAAAACUAUCCUCGUUUCCCACGACUGGACAUUAAGCUUAGCUAGUGAGGAAGAAGAAUACCUGAAUAAGCAGCAAAG